rnacentral:rRNA from 1 species
GACGAACGCUGGCGGCGUGCCUAAUACAUGCAAGUCGAGCGGACUUUUUGGGAGCUUGCUCCCGAAAAGUUAGCGGCGGACGGGUGAGUAACACGUGGGCAACCUGCCUGUAAGACUGGGAUAACUUCGGGAAACCGGAGCUAAUACCGGAUAACUUCUUCCCUCGCAUGAGGGAAGGUUAAAAGACGGUUUCGGCUGUCACUUACAGAUGGGCCCGCGGCGCAUUAGCUAGUUGGUGAGGUAACGGCUCACCAAGGCGACGAUGCGUAGCCGACCUGAGAGGGUGAUCGGCCACACUGGGACUGAGACACGGCCCAG